rnacentral:rRNA from 1 species
UACAGGGGGGGCAAGCGUUGUUCGGAAUUACUGGGCGUAAAGGGCUCGUAGGUGGCCAACUAAGUCAGACGUGAAAUCCCUCAGCUUAACUGGGGAACUGCGUCUGAUACUGGAUGGCUUGAGUUUGGGAGAGGGAUGCGGAAUUCCAGGUGUAGCGGUGAAAUGCGUAGAUAUCGUAAGGAAGGCCAGUGGCGAAGGCGAGUCUCUGGACAGUUACUGACGCUGAGGCACGAAGGCCAGGGGAGCAAACGGG